GGUCGGGUAUCUUGCCAAGUCGGACCCUACAUAUAUUUGAGAUGUUAACCGCAAUUGGAAUGAAAACAAAACUGUCUAAUAUAGUCAAAAUGUGCUCAUCACUCUGACUUUGAUUCAGAAGUAGUUGCAGUGUUUUGAAUACUGUAUGCAUAGAUAUAUGUAACAACCAAUGCUCCAAAAUAAUUAAAUGUGUAGCAUCAAUAGGUAUGCUGCUCAUAAAAUUGUCAUAAUGCACAUGUCAAUGCCUAAGCCAAUAUUGACAGUAUAAAUGCCUGCAAAAAAGGCGGCAAAGUCUGACUAUAAAAUGUACUAUAACCAAGAGCCGAGUUUAUGAUUCCUUGACACAAAUCAAAAAUUGGAUCAUAUACGGCACCCAAAAUAGACAUGUUUAUGAUAGCUGAUCAUAACAGGAUGUCUUGUAACAUCAACCGACAACUCCUCAAUAACAAAAAUUCUGCUCCAAAAUAAACAAACUUUUGACAGCAAUCAACUGAACACGAUAAAAAAAAUCUCCUGCUCAUGUAAGUUUACGUGUACAACACGGGCCUAGAUGUCCACGUUCAUUAAGCCCAAAACUAGAAACUGAACACGUCACUGACCACUCUAAUUUCGGGCUGCCCAGAAUCCUCAAAUCUUCAUCAAGCCAACAACUUUACUGAAAAAAGAGGACUACUUUACUGAAAGUUGUAGGUCGAUUGAGCUAGUACCUUUGAGGCCAAUUCAGAUGGGGGCUCACUGUGACUGCCGGUGUUGUCAAUAUCUGGGGGAAACAUUGAAAAAAUCUUCCGUGUCUUGAACUUGAGAUGUAGAACUUGAGGAACGAUAAUCGGUAACACCAUAUUUCUCUCCAUCCCCGCACUCGUCGUCGUCCUCCCCUUCCUCUAGCAAUGCCAGAUCUGGGACGCCCUCGGUUGCGACCGGCUGGGAACAGAAGUUGCCCAUGACCAGGAGAAGAUGAAGACUUGAGGAUUUGCUG
rnacentral:lncRNA from 1 species